AAAGUCUUCACCACAGCCUAGUUCAUCUGUACUGGGGGACCAUGAAGAAACUUUGGAUGGAAAGGAUGUAGUACAUAGGGACAUGUCAAACAAACCUCAGACACCAUCCAAGACAUCAAUAACCCCACAGCAUCAACUCACCUCCUGGUGGAAAAGAAAAGACACAGAGGUUGUGGUUUCUGUGAUCCCGACCCAGAACAUAGGGCAAACAAUUAUUGUUCGUCACCGUGAGCUCCGUACACUUCAACCACACCGGUGGUUAUAUGGCGAGAUAAUUGAAGGCAUGUUUCAUCUUGCUGUCAAUCAGCUGGAGAUGGGGAACUCCAUAUAUAUUCUCAAUCACUACACAGCAUGGGUGAUUCUGCAUGGGGAAAGCUCACAUCUUGUCCUGCACAGUUUGUCAAAGGUCAACUUUGACAAUUACCAGGCAAUUCUUUCAUUUGUGAACAUCUGCGACGUCCACUGGAAACUUCUG